CGACCGGCGCACGGGUGAGUAACACGUAUGCAACCUGCCCUCUUCAGGGGGACAACCUUCCGAAAGGGAGGCUAAUCCCGCGUAUAUCGGUUUCGGGCAUCCGAGAUCGAGGAAAGAUUCAUCGGAAGAGGAUGGGCAUGCGGCGCAUUAGCUAGACGGCAGGGUAACGGCCCACCGUGGCGACGAUGCGUAGGGGUUCUGAGAGGAAGGUCCCCCACACUGGUACUGAGACACGGACCAGACUCCUACGGAAGGCAGCAG
rnacentral:rRNA from 1 species